rnacentral:misc_RNA from 1 species
AAAAUUAAUAAAAGAAAUAAUAAGACAAGCUUUAGAAAUCAUUAGUAGAUGCAGGCUCUUGUCCUAAGGUAAGUCCAGGCGAAGAGGUAACACCUUCCCUCUCUUGUACCCACUAUCUCGAACCUAGGCUAUUAGGCUCAUGCUAAAAGGACAGUGAACCUCUGCAAGGGAUAAGUUGCCACUUAUGUCCCUUCUAUGAUUGAUUCCUUUCCUCCGCCUUAGU